ACGACCCGGAUAAACCCUAUCGGGCUUUAACUAUUAUUCACUGAAACCCUCUCGGCAGGAUAAACCCCCCUCCGCUUUCCAUUUCUUCUCUGAAAUUUUACUCUCAACCGACCAAGAACAAAUGGCAAUCUCUGCCGCAUCUGCAGCGGCCAGAUCCAUUUUCCGAUCAUCUUCAGUCCGCAAUGCCGCCGCUCGUGUUACCUCCAAAGCCAAGCCAUCUCGUUCCCCCUUCUCUUCGCCUUCACGUACCCCCCUGUCUCAUCGAGUUUUCAGGUCACCGGUGGAAAUGAGUGCUUGUGUAGAGUCGAUUCAGCCAUACCACACCGCCACUGCAUCGGCUUUGAUGACUUCGCUGCUCACCGUCUCUCGUUGCAGCUACGCUUGGCUUCCUGAAGGUUUCUAGCAACAUCUUCUAGGAUCCUCCUUUAUGUCUUUUUCCUUGAUUUUGAUUUCUGAUAAGUAGGCUGUUUUGGUGCUUUGAUGAAACAAGACUUGGAGGGAUCAUUUGGCCAGCUGUCGCAUGAAUUUCCUCGAAUUCCUGUUGACUUUGUAACACUAUUUUUCAAGAUGUUGAGUGAUCUCUCUUCCAAGCAGCAUCUUGGAUCUGUGCUUGUGCAUUUCCUCAGCUAGAAUUCAUCAGUUCACGAAGUUGCUACAUAUUUAAGAGGAAUGAUUGACUGUUUUUGAACUUAAAAAUUAUCAGUUGCAAUGUGGCAUAUGACUUGCAAACUUCUUUCGUUGUUGUAGUUCUUCCUACCGGCUCAAUUUUUACUUUUUCCGAUAUCUAAUUAUAUGUUGAAUUUGUUGGUCUUA